CCUAUAUAUUACCCGAUGGGAAAAGUCUCCCACUAUUUCCAACUUAACCCUAGCCUCCUUCACUCAAAAACCAAAAUUUCUUUUUCCUUCUUUGCUUUCUCUGCGCGAUACAGCUUCACCUUCACCGACCCACUCACCUCCCUUCCUGCGCGACUGAACAAAAACCCAGAAAAGAUAUAUACAAUGGUUGGCUAGCUAUACACAAAACAUAUUCUUUUCUUUCUUCCCUUCCUGCGCGAUUGAACAAAAACCCACGACGGCCGGUAACGCCCAGCAGACUCGCCGGUAACGCCACCGUCGUCGAUCCACGACCUUCGCCAAACCGCGUCUUUGCGUUAGUGUACGACCUCGCCUCCUCUUCCGGUCCUGCUUCAGCCUGCCCGUGACGGCCUGAGUCUCACGGUGCACGACCCUUCCUCUUCCGUACUUGAAGAUACAUAGCUGAUUGGAGUUCAUCUGAUUUAUAAUAAGACAAGGAAACAACAUAACUCUAAUGAUUGUGGAUACUAUGUGAUGAAAAAUAUGUUGGACAUUGUCUCUGCAAAUAUAAUUGGAUCUUGGAUGUAGGUAUUUGAUGAUCCUACAGAAUUAACAGAAGAAGAUUUGUAUGAUUUGCGACUCCGUUGGGCAAAAUGUUUCUUUGAGUUAUAUAAAGAAUAACUUUAUGUUUAGUGUUGUUAUUUUGUAGUAGAAAAAUGUGUGUAAACUUUUCUUAUCAUUUUGUACACUUGUGUAUCCUAAAUUAAUACUUUUGUAUAUUUUGACGAAUAUAUAUGCAUCUUAGCUAUUUGGUGCAGUUAAAUGUGGUCUGU